rnacentral:rRNA from 1 species
UACGGGGGGGGCAAGCGUUGUUCGGAAUUACUGGGCGUAAAGGGCUCGUAGGCGGCCAACUAAGUCAGUUGUGAAAUCCCUCGGCUUAACCGGGGAAUUGCGUCUGAUACUGGAUGGCUUGAGUUUGGGAGAGGGAUGCGGAAUUCCAGGUGUAGCGGUGAAAUGCGUAGAGAUCAGGAAGAACAUCGGUGGCGAAGGCGCUCUGCUGGACCAUAACUGACACUCAGGGACGAAAGCUAGGGGAGCGAAUGGG